rnacentral:lncRNA from 1 species
AACAAAUAUGGAGUCUGUUGGAAUACAUCAAACCAGCCUUGCUGGUGGUUUGAUUUAUUCCAACAGUUUCUCCAUCAGUUGCAACAUCAACAACAACAUAAACUACAAAGAAACAACAAAUAAAAAAUAUCAACAACAAAGAAAAUAACAACAUUUGUUCUAACAACAUCAUCAAUAACAAAGAAGCAAUAUCCUAUUUUUCAACACCAUCAACAACACCACAAGUUCCAACAACGCCAACCCCACCAACAACAUCAAUAAUAGUAUCAACAACAAAGAAACAAAUAAAAUACAUACAAAAAAUGAUACUACCAAUAAGGCUUUUAAACUUCUCCCAACAGAUGACUUUUUCGUAUAUUGUAAUAAAAAUUCUCUGUUCGUUUAUUCAACAAUUAAAAGUUUCUUCAAAUUUUUUAAAUAAAUAUGAUAUGGGUAAAUGGUAAUUAAAUAAAAAAAUAGCUGUAAAUAACUUGCAAAGAAGAAGA